GAUCCACCCUCGGGUGGUGAAAGUGGCGCACGGGUGAGUAACGCGUGGGUAAUCUGCCCUUUGGUUGGGGAUAACAGUCCGAAAGGACUGCUAAUACCGAAUAAGUCAAUCAGCCCCGCGGGGAAGAUUGGGAAAGGCUUCGGCCGCCGAAGGAUGAGCCCGCGUACCAUUAGGUAGUUGGUGAGGUAAUGGCUCACCAAGCCAAAGAUGGUUAGCUGGUCUGAGAGGAUGAUCAGCCACACUGGGACUGAGACACGACCCAGACUCCUACGGGAGGCAGCAGUGGGGAAUAUUGCGCAAUGGAGGAAACUCUGACGCAGCAACGCCGCGUGUGUGAAGAAGGCCUUCGGGUUGUAAAGCACUGUUAAGAUAGAAAGAAUAAGCCUUCGGGCCCUGACGGUACUAUCUGAGGAAGCACCGGCUAACUCCGUGCCAGCAGCCGCGGUAAU
rnacentral:rRNA from 1 species